GAAAUCAAAUGAAGAACACAGACAAGUCAUCAAUCAUUCUAUCCCAGUCCAGAUCCGGAAACAAAAGUUACAGUUUCUGUCGGUGAGAUCUGAGAAAGGCCCUGCAGUGCCCAUGGAUCACUGUCCACUUAGAAGUUGGAAGUGCAAAUUAUAAAUUAAGAAUCUCAGCCAACUCAGGCAUUCACAUGGAAGGGAACAAGGUCGACGGUGACAAAUCACCAUUCUAUUAGGGAACAGACCCUUGGAGUUGUGGAAGAUCAUAAACUCUAGAACCCAUCUCCCUCCGAUUCCACCGUCAAUCUUCAGUUCCCAGUCGCCAUAGCCUUCUGAAGGUCACCCAUCCCGACUCUGGAGCAUG